rnacentral:rRNA from 1 species
UAGGGAAUCUUCGGCAAUGGACGAAAGUCUGACCGAGCAACGCCGCGUGAGUGAAGAAGGUUUUCGGAUCGUAAAACUCUGUUGUUAGCGAAGAACAAGUACGUUAGUAACUGAACGUCCCCUGACGGUAUCUAACCAGAAAGCCACGGCUAACUACGUGCCAGCAGCCGCGGUAAUACGUAGGUGGCAAGCGUUGUCCGGAUUUAUUGGGCGUAAAGCGAGCGCAGGCGGUUUCUUAAGUCUGAUGUGAAAGCCCCCGGCUCAACCGGGGAGGGUCAUUGGAAACUGGGAGACUUGAGUGCAGAAGAGGAGAGUGGAAUUCCAUGUGUAGCGGUGAAAUGCGUAGAUAUAUGGAGGAACACCAGUGGAGAAGGCGGCUCUCUGGUCUGUAACUGACGCUGAGGCUCGAAAGCGUGGCGAGCAAACAGG